rnacentral:rRNA from 1 species
GAUGAACGCUGGCGGCGUGCCUAAUACAUGCAAGUCGAGCGAACAGAUGAGGAGCUUGCUCCUCUGACGUUAGCGGCGGACGGGUGAGUAACACGUGGAUAACCUACCUAUAAGACUGGGAUAACUUCGGGAAACCGGAGCUAAUACCGGAUAAUAUAUUGAACCGCAUGGUUCAAUAGUGAAAGACGGUUUUGCUGUCACUUAUAGAUGGAUCCGCGCCGCAUUAGCUAGUUGGUAAGGUAACGGCUUACCAAGGCAACGAUGCGUAGCCGACCUGAGAGGGUGAUCGGCCACACUGGAACUGAGACACGGUCCAGACUCCUACGGGAGGCAGCAGUAGGGAAUCUUCCGCAAUGGGCGAAAGCCUGACGGAGCAACACCGCGUGAGUGAUGAAGGUCUUCGGAUCGUAAAACUCUGUUAUUAGGGAAGAACAAAUGUGUAAGUAACUAUGCACGUCUUGACGGUACCUAAUCAGAAAGCCACGGCUAACUACGU